GCCAUAACCAUAACCUAUAGACAUAGACAAAAAUUCGUCAGUAUAGAUUCGCUAUGUUGGUAUUCAAAUAUUGGAUUUGCAAGACGUCAAUCGUCAGUCGAAACAUAGGUAUAUGGCGAUUCUAAGGUUCCUCCGCAGGAACUUAGUCAGCAUCACAUUUCCUACACUUGCCUUAACAUUCAUCUGGCUUGAUUGGAGCCAUACUAGGAAGUGGAAAGCUUUGAACAA